UCGCAUGCGGUGGCAAGCUGGGAUUGCUAGGAAUUCGUGGUCACCCCCGAGUAGAGGGAAUUCUUGCAUGCCGGGCGUCCCCUCCUUCGGCCUCGAGCACGUCAUCCUCGAUCUCUUCUCCGAUCCCGGCGUGGAGCGUCCGUCCGUCGUCCAUCUCCCCGGCCGGAUCCCUUCAUCCCUCUAGGUAGCUAGCUAGCUAGGCCGGCCAGGUGAUCAUCGUCGAGAUUCGAUCUGAAUCCAAUAAUCAAUCGAUCGAUCGGAUAAGGAGUAACAACAAUGGGGGGCGGCGGCGGCGGCGGCGGCAACACGCGGGAGCUGGACCAGACGCCGACAUGGGCGGUGGCGUCGGUGUGCGGCGUGAUCGUGCUCAUCUCCAUCCUGCUGGAGAAGGGGCUCCACCACGUGGGCGAGUUCUUCUCCCACCGCAAGAAGAAGGCCAUGGUGGAGGCCCUGGAGAAGGUGAAGGCGGAGCUCAUGGUGCUGGGCUUCAUCUCCCUCCUCCUCGUGUUCGGGCAGAACUACAUCAUCAAGAUCUGCAUCAGCAAGAACGCCGCCAGCACCAUGCUCCCCUGCAAGCUCGAGGCCGUCGAGGCCGCCGGCGCCGGCCACGGCAAGGAGCCCGCGGAGGGCAAAGCCGCCGGGGGCAAGGACGGCCACGGCAAGGAGGGCGCCGCCGUCCCUGGCAAGAAGAAGGCCGCCGCGGAGCACCUCGGCGGCGUGCUGGACUGGCCGCCGCCCUACUACGCGCACAACGCGAGGAUGCUGAUGGAGGCGAGCUCGAAGAGCAAGUGCCCCGAGGGGAAGGUGUCGCUCAUCUCCAUCAACGCACUGCACCAGCUGCACAUCUUCAUCUUCUUCCUCGCCGUCUUCCACGUCUCGUACAGCGCCAUCACCAUGGCGCUCGGCAGGGCCAAGAUACGUGCAUGGAAAGAGUGGGAGAAAGAAGCGGCAGGGCAAGACUAUGAAUUCUCCAAUGACCCGACGCGGUUCAGGUUCACCCACGAGACUUCCUUCGUGAGGAACCAUAUGAAUGUGCUCAACAAGUUCCCAGCAUCCUUCUACAUCAGCAACUUCUUCCGGCAGUUCUUCAGAUCCGUGAGGCAGGCAGACUACUCCGCGCUGCGCCACAGCUUUGUCAACGUGCAUCUUGCCCCUGGCAGCAAGUUUGAUUUCCAGAAGUACAUCAAGCGGUCACUGGAGGACGACUUCAAGGUGAUCGUGGGGAUCAGUCCUACCCUCUGGGCUUCUGCUCUCAUCUUCCUCUUCCUCAAUGUCAAUGGAUGGCACACCAUGCUAUGGAUAUCCAUCAUGCCGGUGGUGAUCAUCCUGUCCGUGGGGACGAAGCUGCAGGGCAUCAUCUGCCGCAUGGCCAUCGACAUCACGGAGCGGCACGCCGUGGUCCAGGGCAUCCCGCUCGUGCAAGUCAGCGACUCCUACUUCUGGUUCUCAAAACCAACCUUCGUGCUCUUCCUCAUCCACUUCACCCUCUUCCAGAAUGGCUUCCAGAUCAUCUAUUUCCUCUGGAUUCUGUAUGAGUACGGGAUGGACUCGUGCUUCAACGACUCGAAAGAAUUCGUCUUUGCACGCCUCUGCCUUGGGGUGGUUGUCCAGGUGCUGUGCAGCUAUGUGACACUCCCGCUCUACGCGCUCGUCUCCCAGAUGGGGUCCACCAUGAAGCAGUCCAUCUUCGACGAGCAGACCUCCAAGGCCCUCAAGAACUGGCGCGCCGGCGCCAAGAAGAAGCACCCCACCAGCUCCAAGCACGGCGGCGGGGGCUCCCCCACCGCUGGCGGCAGCCCCACCAAGGCCGACGGCGAUGCGUAGACGACGCCGGCCGGCCGGAGGCGCAAGACAGGCCAGAGGAAGAGGCGAGUAAUUAAGACUUCAUCAUCAAGGUCGACGACGACUGAUCCGGGGAGAGAGAGAUUCUCCACCAAAUUUCAUUCAAAUCGAGACCUCCACAGAAGCAGAGAUAGAAGUAUAUAUAGAAGUAUUGUUACAGGCUAGGAGGAAACAACGUCAAGCAUUUAGGACCAAAGCAUCCUGGUCGUUUCUAAGGCGUUUUCGCCAUAUUACAAAGUCAUCGCAAACUCUGGAAAUAACAGAGCGGCUAGUAGGUGAUUCGCGUCUGAAGAUUGUGCCAUUUCGUGCAUCCCAGAGACGCCAAAGGAUGGACUAUAGAACAAAGGGCCAGAGCUUCGCAUCAAGGUGUGAGGGAAUCCGAACGUUCCAGACAUCGACAUCUGAGAGAGUGCCAACACCGUCAACACCAUCUGAGUCUCUGAGAGAGUGCCUGGUAGCUAGUAUGGGAGAAGAGAGCAGCAUGGGAGACAUUGAGAGGACCCUCAGGCAACCAGCAGUCAAACCAAAAGGAAGUAGAUGUGCCAUUACGAACAUUAAAGAUCGAUAAGUGGAGUGCUCAUCGUGGAUGAUUUUCCAGUGUUGGAACUAAUAAUAAUAGAGUUAUCAAAAGUAGUGUCUUCCCGCAAAA